GACGAACGCUGGCGGCGUGCCUAAUACAUGCAAGUAGAACGCUGAAGGAGGAGCUUGCUUCUCUGGAUGAGUUGCGAACGGGUGAGUAACGCGUAGGUAACCUGCCUGGUAGCGGGGGAUAACUAUUGGAAACGAUAGCUAAUACCGCAUAAUAGCAGUUGUUGCAUGACAACUGUUUGAAAGGUGCAAUUGCACCACUACCAGAUGGACCUGCGUUGUAUUAGCUAGUUGGUGGGGUAACGGCUCACCAAGGCGACGAUACAUAGCCGACCUGAGAGGGUGAUCGGCCACACUGGGACUGAGACACGGCCCAGACUCCUACGGGAGGCAGCAGUAGGGAAUCUUCGGCAAUGGACGGAAGCCUGACCGAGCAACGCCGCGUGAGUGAAGAAGGUUUUCGGAUCGUAAAGCUCUGUUGUAAGAGAAGAACGAGUGUGAGAGUGGAAAGUUCACACUGUGACGGUAGCUUACCAGAAAGAGACGGCUAACUACGUG
rnacentral:rRNA from 1 species